AACCCAUGGUGAGGGCACCUUCUUAGUAAAUCUUUGUAUCUCUCCCAUGCAUCAUAAAAUGUUUCUAAUUCCAUCUACACAAAAGAAGAGAUAUCAUUCCUCAAUUU
rnacentral:snoRNA from 1 species